AAGGAGAAGAAGAAAAAGAAGAAACAUGCGGAUAAUGAAGUGGAAAAUGUAGAACUCGAACAAAGUAAGAAAAAGAAGAGGAAACACGCUGAUGUCGAUGAGGAUGAACCAGAAACCACGGAAAAGAAGAAAGAUAAAAAGAAGAAGAAGAAGAAAGCUGAAGAAUAAAGUGUCCCAGCUGAGACAUUUUUUAGUAUCAACAAUUUUGUUUUUUGGGCAUGGGCGGCAUGUUUUUAAGUUGUACAAUGAUGUCUUUGUUAAGUUAUUUAGUGCUUUGUAAUGCAACUUAGGAUUCUGUUAGUUAAACACCAUGCUUUUCAAUCUUACUAUGGAUGCGUUAUUGCUACUUUGGAAUAUUUGCUAUAUGGUAUUUU
rnacentral:misc_RNA from 1 species